UACGUAGGGGGCAAGCGUUGUCCGGAUUUACUGGGCGUAAAGAGCGUUGUAGGCGGCCAAACAGGUCCGUUGUGAAAACUGGAGGCUCAACCUCCAGACGUCGACGGAAACCGUGUGGCUAGAGUCCGGAAGAGGAGAGUGGAAUUCCCAGUGUAGAGGUGAAAUUCGAUAGAUAUUGGGAAGAACACCGGUGGCGAAGGCGGCUCACUGGUCCAUUACUGACGCUGAGGUGCGAAAGCGUGGGGAGCAACAGG
rnacentral:rRNA from 1 species